GGAGAUAUAGCUCAGUUGGUAGAGUGCUUGCCUUGCAUGCACGGCCCUGGGUUCAAUCCUCAGCACCA
rnacentral:tRNA from 1 species